ACCCUGUACUGCGAACAUGAUGACAACAACCAUGACUACAUUGAUUCACUUCAAGGUAGCUUCCUUUGACAGAAUGCUGACAGCUCUGCUCCUGAUCGUGCUGUUAUUUAUUUCACCAUGUCUCUCAGCCGGCCCGCUGGUGCUCCAACAGGAAGAUCCGAUGUAUCCUUCGGUGGGGGAUACAGUGUCCCUGCAGUGCAGCAUUGCAGCCGGAUCCUCCAUGAGCAGCUACACCAUGCAGUGGUACAGGCAGAAGGACAGGCACCGAGCCGUUGAGUUCAUCAAGAACGAGUACGAUGCUUCCGACUCAGGCCCUGAGGAACACUUUCAGGUAUCCAUCGCAGCCUCUGAAAACCAGUUCACUCUGGAGAUCAGAAACCUGAGCAAGGAAGACACUGCAACCUACUACUGCGCGGCGAGUCACAUCGCUGUGGGCCUGUGGAGGGCCUGUACAAGAAGGAGAGGAGGCAGCAGAACACCUGGCAUAGCGUCUGAGGACACGUGAGCUCACAAAAUUGACAUGCAGACGUCACACCUAAUAAAAUACAACAGCCUAUAGUUUACUGCACUUAACAGUAUGGCAUUGUUGUGUAUGAAUAUUCUUAUAUUGCGUGCAGUACAUAUUGUGCUAUGAAUAGAAAAAAUGAAUAUAUGUAAGAUGCAAAGUUAAUGUAAAGCUGGCACUCUUGGGAGUUAUUGAUGACAGAGUCCUGUAACUACUGUAGGAACACCUUGAUACCAGGGGAGAAUGUUAUGUCCUCAUGGAAGAAACAGGUAGAGGGGUCUGCUAGCUAAAGAAAAAAAUCUUGUUAGUCUUAAACAAAGAAGAUUAUGAAGAGACCUGAUAUAAGUAUUCAAAAUCCUUAGCCCAGUGUGUACCUGCCAGACCUCUUCAGAAUGAACAGUGAAACUCAGACCAGAAGACACUAGGCAAAACUCAGUGGAAGUGCAUUUAAAACCAAGAACAGGAGGCACUUGUUUAUCACAAGGGUUGUGGGAGUAUGGAAAAGCUACCAAGCCGUGUUGCUAAAGCCCUUCCUUCAAGAAAAGGCUGGAUGAGAUUCCGAGAUCAGUUAACUACUAAAUAUAAAAAAGAUAAGAUGAGCUGAAUGGCCUCCUAUUUUUUGUACUUGUAACUAAAUAACUUUAUAAUUUUGUCUUGUUCUCCAGAAGAUAACUUUGAAAUUUAAAAUAAUAUCAAAAUAGUGCACUUUAAAUAUUUCCAGUCAUUUAAAGAUGACACAAUUUGUGAAAUUCACAUGGAAUGAACUCUUUAUUCAUUACAGUUAGGAAGAAAUGAAGAAAUUAAAUGAAGUGUUUUUUUGUAAAAGUGCUACAAUGUUAAUGAAGAAUGUACUUUCACUUUUCAGAAAAAUUAACUCUGCUUCACUUUAUCUAUUUCAGGUAUGAGGCAAAUAAAGUGUUUUUUUAACUAUU